GCCACAGCCUAAGUUGCACCGUUUUUACUUGUGUUUAGUUGCUGGUCGUCUUCCUUUGCGUAACUUUUUCUUCCGUUUAGUAGAUCGUCUAGGUUCUUGUUUCCGAGUCUUUGAGCAAUCGGCGAGUUUAGUUUCUAUCUUGUUCUAGUCGGAGUCGCCGAGAUCAGUUUGUGUCUGAGUUCUAUCCCAAGUCGGCUAGUUUCCAAUCCGCGCCCUACCCCAAGACGGCUUGCUGUUUCUACUUCUAGUUUAGAUCGGUUUCCUGUUUCCGAUCCGAUUCCUACUUUCAGUCGGCGUGUGUUCUCCGACUUCGAGUACUUGUAGGUUUCCGUUUGAUAACCUUCCAAAUCUUUGUGUAAACUUCCUUCUUUUGAGACUAGCAUAUCUUUUGCUCUACGGGCUGCUCUUGUUUUUCCAUAAGAAUAGAUCAAAUUGAUCUGUAAGUGAUUUGAGUUUCUGAAAAGCUUCGGCCGCAAGGGCAGAGUAGGGGAGAGCAAAAAAAAUAAAAUAAAAAAAGAAAAGAGUCUGGAACUCUCUCCGAAUUUUUUUUGAGCCUAUACUGUUUUUACACUUUCGGGAUCGUUUUUAGCUAUCCGCCGUUAUAGCGGAAAAUUUGUGAUCCAAAAUUUGUUUUUUCCAAUUGUCGUUUGAGCAACCUUGUGCCCGUUUCUUUUGAGCUAUUGCUAGUGUCUCUCCUUGUGCAUUGCAACACGAGCUUACCUCCGACGUAUAUCAUAUUUUUCAGCUCUUCCAUAUGGCUGCAUUUGCCCCAUUUAUCUCCACCGUGUGUGUUUCCCGUCUGAGUCAAGUCAUACGAUCAGCACUAGGCCUUGUAAAUUUGGUGUUGUUAGGUAUCCCAACCAAGCUCCACCUUAUACACCUUAGUUGUCGUGUGAUUGUCUUGACCCAUAAAAUUCGCUUGAUCACACACACGUGCGUUUCAGCCACCGC
rnacentral:lncRNA from 1 species